GGUUGAUCCYGCCGGAGGUCACUGCUAUUGGGAUUCGAUUAAGCCAUGCGAGUCGAGAGGGUUCGGCCCUCGGCUGACGGCUCAGUAACACGUGGAUAAUCUGCCCUUAGGUGGAGGAUACCCUCGGGAAACUGAGAAUAAUACUCCAUAGGUCUAGGAUGCUGGAAUGCACUUAGACUGAAAAUUCCGGUGCCUAAGGAUGAGUCUGCGGACUAUCAGGUUGUAGUCAGGGUAAAGACCUGACUAGCCUAUGACGGAUACGGGUUGUGAGAGCAAUAACCCGGAGAUGAUAUCUGAGACACGAUAUCAGGCCCUACGGGGCGCAGCAGGCGCGAAAACUUCACAAUGUGCGAAAGCACGAUGAGGGAAUCCCAAGUGCUUGCACGUAAGUGCAAGCUGUUUCUAUGUCUAAAACACAUAGAGAGUAAGGGCUGGGUAAGACGGGUGCCAGCCGCCGCGGUAAUACCUGCAGCUCAAGUGGUGGCCGCUAUUAUUGGGCCUAAAACGUCCGUAGCCGGUUUAAUAAAUGCCUGGGUAAAUUGUAUAGCUUAACUAUACGAAUUCCGGGUAGACUGAUAAACUUGAGACCGGGGGAAGUUAGAGGUACUCCUGGGGUAGAGGUGAAAUUCUGUAAUCCUAGGGGGACCACCGGUGGCGAAGGCGUCUGACUAAAACGGGUCUGACGGUGAGGGACGAAGCCCUGGGGCGCAAACGGGAUUAGAUACCCCGGUAGUCCAGGGUGUAAACGCUGCUUGCUUGAUGUUAGUCGGGCUUCGAGCCCGAUUAGUGUCGGAGAGAAGUUGUUAAGCAAGCUGCCUGGGAAGUACGGCCGCAAGACUGAAACUUAAAGGAAUUGGCGGGGGAGCACAGCAACGGGUGGAGCGUGCGGUUUAAUUGGAUUCAACGCCGGG
rnacentral:rRNA from 1 species